rnacentral:rRNA from 1 species
UACAGAGGUCCCAAGCGUUGCUCGGAAUCACUGGGCGUAAAGGGUGCGUAGGCGGGUUUUUAAGUCAGAGGUGAAAUCCUGGAGCUCAACUCCAGAACUGCCUUUGAUACUGAGAAUCUUGAGUAUGGGAGAGGUGAGUGGAACUGCGAGUGUAGAGGUGAAAUUCGUAGAUAUUCGCAAGAACACCAGUGGCGAAGGCGGCUCACUGGCCCAUAACUGACGCUGAGGCACGAAAGCGUGGGGAGCAAACAGG